CAGGCCUCCCUCUGCUUGGUUCCAGUCGUGGGCAUGAGUGAGGGUUGAUGCUUGAUGGCUUUGAUGCCAUCGGUGGGAAUAUAUUUAAGCAUCGGCCUUCCCUCAUGCCCACGAUGGUCUACAGUCUUGGGUAUGAGUCAGUGACGAUGCUUGUUUGUUUAGAUGCUUGUGUUGGAACUUGCUUGUUUAGAUGCUUGCGUUGGAACUUGCUUGUUUAGAUGCUUGUGUUGGAACUUGCUUGAGCAACCGACCUGACGAAGUACCCAUGAAUGUUCAACCUAGUAGGGACAUGUCCCUGCGCCCAACGACAUUUUUUGUCGGGAUCGUGGCAAGUCUGCGAUCCAGGGGGUGAUGUUGAGAGCCGGAAGGCAAGGGGGUGCAAACACCAGUCGGCCUUUGUCCCGAUUGCUGAGUGUUAUGUGCUUGAUGUCCAAGGCUUGAUGCUGAUCCUCCAAGUGGGGCUUGUCCCUGCACUAAUGGCUUUUGCCAGGAUCAUGGCGUUUGCUAUGAUCGAAAAAAUGAGGGGGUGAUGUUGAGAGCCGGAAGGCAAGGGGGUGCAAACACCAGUCGGCCUUUGUCCCGAUUGCUGAGUGUUAUGUGCUUGACGUCCAAGGCUUGAUGUUGACCCUCCAAGUGGGGCUUUUUUGUUCCUGCGGUAACGACUUUGUUGGGAUCAUUGUGAUCAAGUUUGGUUGGUUUCGUAUUGUGGUGGGAUUUUUCGAAGCUUCUAUCGUUGUUUUACGCAUCGUGCGGUGCAUCUUGGGGGCUGGUUUGGCAUUUGGUUGCUUGCUUGGGCUUUAUGCUAGGCGGGUGGCUAAU
rnacentral:misc_RNA from 1 species